rnacentral:lncRNA from 1 species
UUAAUGGGCAUCCAAAGCUGGGGUAGACUAGAGACCGCCCUCUACUUGUGGGAUCUAGUGUUAACCCCAGGUAGUGUUCGAACUGACCUGAACACCCAGCUGGUGCUUAAUAUGGAAAAAACUUAGGCCUUUGGCCACAGAGGUUGAAUGUAAACAGUAGAAUGGAAAGUGUCUUUCCUGGGUAUUAAGGAUGCUGGAAAACACUGUACCACCUAAAUGCUCUGUAUCUGCAACCCUUUCCUAAGUUGUCUUUAAGUGAUACAUUGUUGUUGCCACGCUGUUGUUUUUCUGCCCCAGUGUCCCACAAUAGAUUUUUGUAUAGUGGUAGAACAUUCGCCUGGCAUAGUAACAAAGCUCUGAAUUUCUACUAUCACUGGGAGUGAAAAGCCUGUCUGUGGUGCCUGCUUGUAGUUCUAGCUACACCUAGAGUAGUCUGUAGCUACUUACACCCACUCUACAGAGAUUGAGAUGGUCAGUUCAGUUCAGGAAUUGGAGAGAAGCUCAGGAAACAUAGACUACCAUCUCAAACAAAUAAAUUGGACCUGGGUAGCAGGGGAAGGCCUAAAAUCCCUAUUCUUAAAAAAUCGAGGCAGGAGGAUCUUGAGUUCAAGGGCUGUCCAAGCUACUGAAUAAAUUUAAGGGCAGCCUAGGCUAUGUGACCCUGUCUCAAAUGAAUAAUUUUUAAAAAUGGAGUGGGGUUGGAGGUAUUGGGGCUGGUUGUGGUGUUGAACACCUUUAAUUCCAGCACUUUGGAGGCAGAGGCAGGCAGGUCUCUUGAGUUCAAUGACAGCCUGCUUUAGCGAUACUAGGACAGAGGGCUAUACAGAGAAACGUGUGUGUGUGUUUGUGUGUGUGUGUGUGUGUUGUGGACGACACGAGGGUCGGGGUGGGGUGAUCUGACAGAUGGUUCAGCAGCUAAGAAUAUUUAUAUUGGCUGCUCAAGAAGAAUGUGGGUUUGAUCCCAGCAUCCAAAUAAUGGCUUUAUUCCAGUUCCAGGGCACAUGUGCACAUAUAUACAUGCAGGCGGACACAUACACAUAAAAAAAUUAAAACCAUUAUGUUUAAAAAUGACAAACAAUGAAAAGGCUGGGGCCCUAGUUGAGUGACCGUGUGUAUGCUAAUUGUGUGUAAAGCCAUUCCUCAACACCCAGAAAAAGUAUUAGUAUCUGGUUUUACAUUCAGUGCCUGGUUAUUUCUGCUUUAAGAAUUUAAGACAUUAUUUUAGGACUCAUGUGCUCUGAUCAAAGGGAUUGCUUUUACUGUUUUCAAGACAGGGUCUAACUGCACUCCAACCUGGCUCCAAACUUAGGGAGUCCCUCAGCCUCCUAGAUGUUGGGAUUACAGGUGUGAGCCACAUACUUGAUGGAAGUCUUAAUAUGAAUUAUAUAUGAAAAUGAAUCAAUGUUAAAUCUUCUGAUUUUGAUAAUUAUGGGGAUCAUAUACAAUGCAUGCUGAAAUACUUUAAUGGUUAAGCAUGAAUAUGAAAUGUGGAAGGUAAAUGUUAAUUCAAUCUGUAUGUAAAGUGUUCACUAUACUAUUAAUGCGGUUUUUGUUGUGUUCCAGCUUCUCUAAGACUUAGAUUUGAAGGUUUUAAAGUUGAAGGAAUAUUAAUCCACUCAUGAAAAUAGCAUAAUAGAGAAACCUAGAAAGUAAGAAAGCUGUGGCUUUAAUAAAUCUUUGAGGUAGGGCCUACAGGAAGUUGCUUAUAGAUGUGAGGGUUGUACCCGUCUGAAUGGAUUGAUGCUAAUAAAAGAGCUUGACGCUGCAAGCUCAACCACUU